AUCUUAUAAAUAGCCUAUUAGAUUGGUUUUCUUGUAAACCAUUUAACAUAAUUUUACAUUUUUAUCUAGUCAUCUUAUAAGUAGAAUGGCAACCCACAACAAUAUCCUCCUCUUUACCUUUGUAGUUUUGUGCAUUGUUUCCAUGGUGGUUGCAGGAGUACUAGAUGAGACAUUACAUUGCUUUCAAGGAAUAUGCCCUAAUUUCAACUGUGCCAAAUUUUGCUCUGGUGCAAAAGGCUACCCUAGAGGUGGUUACUGUUUGGGGGACUCACAAUUGUGUUGUUGCAUUGGAGCUUGAGAGAUCUAUGAUUGAUAAUUGUAUUUUCUCAACAUCAUUCUGCAAUUUAGUAUUUAUGUUUUUUUAUUAAAAUAAGAUGAUUAGAAAUCACUAUUCUAACUUCAUUUCAAUAAAAGAAUUCACUUGUGUCAA